GAGAGAAAAUUUUUCUUGCCGAGUUUAUAAAUACACUCGGAAAAAUUAAAAAAUUUUAUUCAGUGUGUUUUAUAUGCGCAUUUGUAAUAUUAUUUUAAUUAAAAUGAUUUGGUAUUAAGUUUGAGUUGAUACUUUUUUUUGUGAAUACAAUACACGUGCAAUAGUGUUGAAUAAUGAUUAUGUGAUAGUCAAUAAUAAUGAAGAUUAUCAUUGUUUAUUUGUUUAUUUUCUGAUGUUUUUUACUUGCAAAAUUGAAUACAAUGGCUCAAGAGACUCACGAUAUCAAUUUAACACCUCAAGAAUUACAAAUUUUGUCGGAAUUGGACAGCCGACAAUUUGGAUUCCUCAAGUUGAAUUCUCCAGAGCAAGUGAAAAAAAAGGCUCUAGUGGUGAAAGCUAUAAAGUAUCUGGAGAAAAUGCUGAUACAAGCACAAGCAGAAAAACAAAGACGAAAAAUUGACGGUAUUAGGUCGACUAAUUGUGACUCGAAGAAUGAUGAAGAUGAUAAAGUAAUCAGCAUAGAUCCUAAAACUUAUUGCAAACUAGGUCAUUUCCACUUGUUACUUGAAAACUAUAGUAAAGCCAUGUCAGCAUAUCAAAAGUUUUAUGUUUUAAAAACGGAUUAUUGGAAAGAUGCUUCAUUUCUUUAUGGACAAGGGCUGGUUUAUUUUCACUUCAAUGCUUUUCAAUGGGCUGUGAAAGCAUUUCAGCAGGUGUUAUGGGUAGAUCCAAGUUUUCCUCGUGCAUGCGAGGUACACCUUCGCCUCGGUCUUAUGCUCAAGGUUUUGUCUGACUUUGAUGCUGCUCUCAAACACCUGACGCUUGCAUUUAUCGAUGCUAGCACACCAGCAUUAUUUUCCAAACUUGAAAUUAAAUUUCAUAUUGCUCAUUUAUAUGAAGUUCAAGGAAAAUAUCGUCUUGCUAAAGAGCAUUACGAGACACUCCUCAAAGAAAAAUCCUUACCAUCUCAUUUAAAAGCAGACAUCUGUCGGCAAUUAGGAUGGAUGUAUCAUGUAGUUGACUGUUCAAUUCUAAAUGUUACUCGACCACAAAAACAAGCAUUUGCAAUACAUUGUCUUCAAAAGUCAAUUGAAGCAGAACCAAAGAGUGGUCAAAGUCUUUAUUUAUUGGGUCGUUGUUUAGCAGCUUCUGGAAAAGUACAUGAUGCUUUUAUUGCUUAUAGGAACUCUGUUGAAAAAUCUGAAGGUAAUGCGGACACUUGGUGCAGUAUAGGUGUCCUUUAUCAACAGCAAAACCAACCUAUGGAUGCACUUCAAGCGUAUAUAUGUGCAGUUCAAUUAGAUAAAUCACAUUCUGCUGCAUGGACUAAUUUAGGGAUUUUAUACGAAAGUGUUAGUCAACCUAAAGACGCUCUUGUUUGUUAUGUAAACGCUUCUAGAGGUAAUAAUAAUACAUCAAACUCAUCGAGUUAUUCAAUGAACUUGGGUGGCGUAAAAUCUGGUGGAAACGUUUCGAUGAAUCCAUCUCUUCAACAACGAAUUCAUUUUCUUCAAAGCCAUCUAAGUCAAGCACCAAUGCCUUCUAUUGCUGCCAAGAGACGACAAUUACCGUCAAUUGAAGAAGCAUGGAAUUUACCAAUAAGUGCCGAAAUGUCUAGUAGACAACAACAACCUGCAGUACAAGCAGGUUAUAAGUACACAACUACACCACCGGGACCUCCACCUCCAUAUCCUCAAAAUCAAGCUGCGACUAAUAUUACCACAAAAAGAUUUAAAGCUGGAGAAGAACCGGUAUCUCCUGGUGCGCAGUCCCAAUCUCAACAACAACCACAACAAAAACAACAGUCGCAACAACAAACUCCAACACAGCAACAACAAUCACAACAGCCACCACAAGCGCAACAACAGCAACAAUCUCAACAAUCACCAGCAUUACAACCCCAACGUACACCACCCUUUUAUCUUACAUCUCAACAAUUACAAAUGUUACAACUUUUGCAACAAAAUAGCAAUAAUUUAACGUCACAGCAACAAGGUAUUUUACAACAAUUACAAUUACAAUAUCGAUUAAUGCAACAACAUCAACAACAAUUAAGAAUUCAGCAACAACAAGCUGCUCAACGUGGUUUAAGACCAGGACAGCCAGGUUAUCCACCUGGUUUAACAAAUUUAAGAGAAGGACAAUCAGCAACUCAACAAACAGGAGCUGUAAUAAAAAAUUAUGGAAUAGAUCAACAACAACCACAAGGUGGUACUGUGGCAUUACAAACUGGAUUUUCUGAUACAAAUAUUACUUAUAAUACUGUUGCUACUGGUAAUACUCAACAAAGUCCUGGUAUGCCAUACAAAUCAGCUGCCGAUUCAAGUUAUGCUCAACAAAAUGUUAGUCAAUACAAUCAUUAUCAAUCAAAUCAAUAUACAAUGCAAGGAUAUACUCAAAUGAAUCCUACAACAGGAAAUUAUCCUGAAAACACUGUUAGUAAUAAUAAAGAUAUUGGUGUUACAGAUCAAGAACUUCAAGCUUUAUUAUCUCAAAAAGAUAUAGCUACUUCAUUGGCAGAAGAUUUAUUAAAACAUUUUGGUUCUGAAGAUUUGGAAGUAAAAGAUGAAACACCAUCAGCGAUAAAUAAUGGAACAUUAAGUUCAGGACCAUUUUCACCAUCGAAUAUUGAAAAUAACGAAAGAAUAAAAGAAGUUAAGGUUGAACGAGUUGAUAUGUCAGAGUAUGAUAAUAUUUAUAAAUCAGAAAAAGUUCAUUCAGACACGUUAAAAAUAAAUACGAAAAAUAUUAUCAAGUGUGAAACAACAUCUUCAAAUAUUUAUCAAACUGAUUGUCAUCGUAGUGAACCAGUAUUGAAAUUGGAAAGUUUACGUGAAUCAUCGACAGAGGUUGAAUUUUCAAUUGAUAUGGAUGCUAAAAGUGUUGUUGAAGCAUGUAAAGGUCAUGGCUUAAAAAGUGUACCAAAUUGCUCAAUAUUAUCAGAUCGAUCACCACCACCUGUACCCCCAGAUCCACCAAAUCAAAAGUUAACCAAGGAACAACUUUUACCUCCAACACCAAGUGUAUACUUGGAGAAUAAAAAAGAUGCAUUUAGUCCUCAACUUCAAGAAUUUUGUCUCAAACAUCCAAUUGCUGUGAUUCGAGGUCUUGCAGCAGCAUUAAAACUUGAUCUUGGUUUGUUCUCUACAAAAACAUUAGUUGAAGCAAAUCCUGAUCAUGGGAUUGAGGUGAGAACGCAAAUGCAACAAACAAGUGAUGAAAAUUGGGAUCCAGUGUUGUCGAGGAAGGUUUGGGGAUGUAUAAGUCAUCGAAGUCAUACUACUAUAGCUAAAUAUGCUCAAUAUCAAGCAUCUAGUUUUCAAGAUAGUCUCAAAGAAGAACGUGAAAAGACACAGGGUAUUCAUACUGCUAAUUUAUCAGAUUCUGAUUCUAAAGAUAGUACGGGUGUUGUAAAAAGAAAAAAGAAUGCUUAUGGAUUACCAGGGCGUCCAGGUUCUAAAAUGUUACGAUUUGGUACAAAUGUCGAUCUUUCUGAUGAAAGAAAAUGGAAAUCUCAACUCAAAGAACUUAUGAAAUUACCUGCCUUUGCUAGAGUUGUGUCUGCUGGUAACAUGCUAAGUCAUGUUGGGCAUGUUAUUCUUGGUAUGAAUACAGUUCAAUUAUACAUGAAAGUGCCUGGAAGUAGAACUCCUGGUCAUCAGGAAAAUAAUAACUUUUGUUCUAUAAAUAUUAAUAUUGGUCCUGGUGAUUGUGAAUGGUUCGCAGUACCCGAUGCUUAUUGGGGAGUAAUUUGUAGUUUAUGUGAACGUAAUAAUAUUAAUUAUUUACAUGGAAGUUGGUGGCCAUCACUUGAAGAUUUGUAUGAGGAAAAUAUUCCUGUAUACAGGUUUCUUCAACGACCUGGUGAUCUUGUAUGGGUUAAUGCUGGUUGUGUUCAUUGGGUACAAGCUGUUGGUUGGUGUAACAAUAUUGCUUGGAAUGUUGGACCGUUAACUGCACGUCAAUAUCAACUGGCUAUUGAAAGAUAUGAAUGGAAUAAAUUACAAUCAUUCAAAUCUAUUGUUCCUAUGGUUCAUCUAUCAUGGAAUUUAGCUAGGAAUAUUAAAGUUUCGGAUCCACGUUUAUUUGAGCUUAUUAAAAAUUGUUUACUCCGAACAAUGCGACACUGUUGUUUAAUAUUAGAAUUUGUUAAAAAUAAAGGCGUAGAAGUGAGAUUUCAUGGCAGAGGAAAAAAUGAAGCUUCUCAUUAUUGUGGACAAUGUGAGAUUGAAGUAUUUAAUAUUCUCUUUAUAAGAGAACAAGAAAAACGUCAUGUAGUCCAUUGUAUGGAUUGCGCUCGGAAACAAUCACCAUCACUCGAAGGCUUUGUAUGUCUGGAAGAAUAUCGUAUGCGGGAUCUUAUGGACGUUUAUGAUGGUUUUACACUUCAUACACCUGCAAUUACAACUGCAAUUUUAUCACAAUCCAAUUUAACAUCCUGAGAAUCCUAUAUGCAUCAUAAAUAUUUAAAUUUUUUGAUGACUUUAUCAUCAGUUAAUCAAGUCAACACAUGAAAGAAUUUUUAAUAAUAAUAAAAAAAAAAGUGACAAAAAAAGACAACAAGCCUCGUCCAUGUACCUGAGUUACUUUGAAAUAAAAACAGAAAAAAGGAAAAAAAUAAAGAAAAAAAAAUAUUUAUAGA
rnacentral:misc_RNA from 1 species